UUCUCUGAAGGGCCCCGAUUCCUUUUGAUGC
rnacentral:piRNA from 1 species